AUUUUUAUGAUUCAUUCAAAAUCCUUUUCACAAUGCUGCAAUUCCUUUCAAUUCAAUGAAUCAUUCCCCCAAAUCUGCAAAAUAUUUCCGUUCUGGAAUUAGGGUUUCGAAUUUUGCAAUCCUCUUUUUUUUUAUUCCCCGCUCGAAACUAGUCAUGAACUCAUUUUACACAACACAAAUCAACUGAGAUUUUUCAUUAUCUUGUUUAAAUGAUGCAGUUUCGCCUAAAAUGAGCAGCUCAAGGGAGGAUUCUCCGGAUUGGCUUCGUUGUUUUCAGGCCCCAACUCAUUCAACUGUUACAUUAUCCUCGGAUUCUGAUUCUUUGCAAAAUGUUAGUCCUUCUAGGGAUGAUAAAAUUGAUUCUCAAUCCCCAGAAAGAUACAGCAAUAAUGAUAUUGUUCCUGGUGAAAGUGGUGCAGAAUCUCCAUUAUAUCCGAUUUCCAAGGCAAAGGCUCCCAAAAGGGGGGCAACUGGAGAUGGAAUACCAACAAAGAAUGAGAGAAAGAAGAGGAAGAAGGAGCAAAGAGAAGGGGAUGGUACUGAUGGGCUAGCUGCUGAGGAAGUAACACCUGAUAAGGAUAUAGAACCUCAUGCAGCAAAUCAUUCAGUUUUGGCAUUAUCAUCGGAUUCUGAGUCUUCUCAUGAUAAUAGCUCUAGGAGGAAGACAAAAAAUAUUAAACUCAAAGAGAGUGGAAAGGAUGAGGCUGCAAUGGUUGGUAGUAGCAGUGAAGCAUUGAAGAAGGCCUUGAAGGAAAAGUCUCCUAAAAAAAUGUUAAAAGUUGAGGGUCAUACGCACAAGAAAGAGAAGAAUAAAAAGGAUAAUGUUCUGAAAGGAGACCCUGAUGCUGCAGAGGUUGCAGAUGAAGACAGUUCUGUGAAGCGUACUGAUCCUCAUGUUUCUACGUCAAGGCUGCCCUUGCUUCUCCCUGAGAAAGUCAGUCGUUCAAAGGCACUUGUUGAAUGUGAAGGGGAUUCCAUAGAUUUGAGUGGUGAUGUGGGGGCUGUUGGACGAGUAGUGAUUCCGGAUACCUCAUCUGGAAAUCAUGACAUGUACUUGGAUUUAAAAGGUACCUUUCUGGUUGGUGUGUUGAAAAUUUCAAAUAUCCAUUUCUUCAUAUCUCUAAUCCUGCCAGAAGAUAUCUGACCCCAUUUUAGUGGCUGAAAAAGUUGACUCAGUGAUUCUUCAGAAAUAAAAUGUCCGUAUCCUUUUUCCCCUCCUGAAACCACUGUGAAAUAAAGUUGUUAAAUUCCCAGAAUUUGUACAUAAAUUAUCAAAUGCCUCAGCAUUCUACUUUAUUGUGUUUCUUUUUAUGAUUUUUGCUUCUCUUUGGUUUUCCAGUUCCACCUUGAAGAUCUUAUAAAAUGUAUUUCUUUCACCUCACCAAUACACCUAAUUGUUAAACAUGUCUUGACAAAUGAACCUGCAUCUGAUUGGUUAACUUUGGUUGUUUCAGGAACGAUAUACAGAACAACAAUAGUUCCUUCCCGGACAUUUUGCGUUGUAUGUCAUGAUCUGGACUUGUAUUUUUCAGUUGUAACUCCUCCCCCUAAAUACCAACAAAUGAACAAAAAAUUUCAAUGGCCUCUCAUCUUACCACCUAUGUCUUAUUAGCGUUAUUAUUUUUAAUUUUUAGCAUUCUACAUAUAUCUUAUUCUUUAGUAGAUUGCUGUAACAUAAUACAUAUCUUUUUGUUUCAGGUUAGCUUUGGUCAAUCAGAGGCAAAGAUAGAGGCCAUUAUGAAUGACUUCAUUCAGCUAAAAGCACAGUCUAAUGUCUAUGAAGCUGAAACUAUGGUUGAAGGAACACUCGAGGGUUUUUCUUUUGACUCGGAAGAUGAGGCUGACAAGAUGCCUAAAGCUAUUUCUCACGAAACUGAUCAAAAUGAAGGCAAUGAAGAACAGACCAAAGGAAGAACACGAGGAAAAGCUGAGAAAUCAUU
rnacentral:misc_RNA from 1 species